UUUAAAAGUAGCGUUAAAUGCUUGAGUAGUAGUAGUAAUAGUCUUGAAACUUAAAAAUUUUGGCGGUAUUUUAGUCUAUUCAGAGGAACCUGUUCUAUAAUCGAUAAUCCACGAUGGACCUUACUUAGGUUUGUUUAGCUUAUAUACCGUUGUUAUUGAAUAUUUUAUAAGAAAAAUAAUUUUCUAUAAUUUGAAUUAAAAUAAAUAUCAGAUCAAGGUGUAGCUUAUGCCUGAGAAGUAAUGGGUUACAAUAAAGUUAUUUAUACGGAAAUGAUUAUGAAAAAAUUAUUGAAGGUGGAUUUGAAAGUAAAAGCUUAUAGAU
rnacentral:rRNA from 1 species